AGAUUUCCAUAAUCCUGGAGUGGAUCCUGGUGGAGAGUGUGAGGCAGGGAUCCAAGGCCCCGUUCCCCUGGGGCCAGCCCCUUCCUAGUUCCCAACACCCAGGGCCCUCGUUCCCACCUGUCAGACCUGCCCGUCACCCCAUGGUUCUCUGAAUGGGCCUGGGUCUGUGGCCGGUGCCUGGCUCUAUUCUGCCUCCGUCUUCCCUGCUGCGGAGAAAAUAAAUGUCUACUUGGCAAGAGAGCGCCCAGGAAUGGAUAACAAGGAGGCAACUGUGGGACGGGAAAGAGGGGGAGGUCGGGAGCAGAGCGCCUGGAGAAACGCAGCCCCCACGACCAUGGCCGCAGGAGGGGAUCAUGCAGGAAGGGGAAGCCAGUGACCCCUUGGCAGCAAUUGAAGGUUAAGUCCACCUGGGUCUGUGCACUGGGGCCGCUGCAGCCAGUGCAGCAGCGUCUCUCACCACCAGUCAGCGGCAAAGUCCAACACCCCAGGACCCAGGUGACUCCAUCGCUGGCGUGGCCCUAAGCAGCCACACCUGACAGGUGCAUGCUCCACAGGCCCAGAAGGCCAGCCCCGGGAACUUGCCCCCACACCCAGGUCAGGGGCACUUGGCCAAGGCUCUCCACCACAGCACUCAGCAGGGAAACAGGUGAAUGACCCAAAUAUGCAGCCCGCGGAGGACAAGAGCAGGAGCCCAGCCGGAGAGCUGGCAGGCGUUGGCAGAGCACCCAGGAGGGCACCCAUAGGGCAUGAUCUUCAAGGCGGAGACCAGGGCUGUCGGCAGCAAACUCCCCCAUAAAGAGCAGACCACUGA